GAAGGAUAUAGGGGGGAUUGAGUGUGAGACGGAGCAAUGGAUGGGAUACAGUAAGUUAUGAGAGAGGAAAGGAAUGGGGAGAAGGAGAGGAAGAGAGUCAAUGCUUGUAACAGCCUCAAUUUGUCGGGGCGUGGUCUCUACAAGGUGUCUAACGCGUAGAGGGGUGCUGGUCCAUGUUGACUCCAAUGCUUCCCACAGUUGUGUCAAGUUGGCUGGAUGUCCUUCGGGUGGUGGACCAUUCUUGAUACACACAGGAAACUGUUGAUUGUGAAAAACCCGGCAGCGUUGCAGUUCUUGAAAAAAACGGUGACCAUGGUUGACAGAGGAAGAACAAUGAUUCCAAGCACCACCCUCCUUUUGAAGCUUCCAGUCUGUGAUUCGACCUCAAUCAGCAUGAUAGAGUGAUCUCCAGCCUUGUCCUCGUCAACACUCACACCUGUGUUAACCUCUUGGUCCUACCUGGCAUGCAGGCGUCCCAUCUAGAGCUCUGGAAAUGCAAAUGUGCUACGUUAAAUGCUAAUAGUAUUAGUUAAAACUCAAACGUUCAUUAAAAUACACAUGCAGGGUAUUGAAUUAAAGCUACACUCGUUGUGAAUCCAGGCAACAAGUCAGAUUUUUAAAAUGCUUUUCGACGAAAGCACGAGAAGCUAUUAUCUGAUAGCAUGUAACACCCCAAAAGACCCGCAGGGGACGUAAGCAAAAUAAUUAGCAUAGUCGUCGCUACACAAACCGCACAAAUAAAAUAUAAAACAUUCAUUACCUUUGACCAUCUUCUUUGUUGGCACUCCUAGAUGUCCCAUAAUCACUAUUGGGUCUUUUUUUCGAUUAAAUCGGUCCAUAUAUAGCCUAGAUAUCGAUCUAUGAAGACUGUGUGAUAAACGGAAAAAUAGCGUUUCAUAACGUAACGUUAUUUUUUUAAAUUCAAAAAGUAGACGAUUAACUUUCACAAAACACUUCGAAAUACUUUUGUAAUGCAACUUUAGGUAUUAGUACACGCUAAUAAGCUAUAAAAUUCAUCAGGAGGCGAUGUCAAUUCUAUAGGUGUCUGUUUCGAAAAAAUGUCUUGGAGAGAGCUCGACCAAAACAUCCGGUCGGAGACCGGAGGGAAUCGAUUCCCUUGAUUCGGUUAGACCAAGAAUCAAUUGCGAAUCAAAUGACAAGACUCUAGACAACGUGUGGAAGCUGUAGGCACUGCAACCUCGGCCUCAUUUAAUUCGAUUCACUUUGAACAAUUCCUUGAAGUCGCGGAUGGAUAUUUUUUUCCAUUUUCAGUGAUCAGAUAUUCCUGCACUUUUCGAUGAAACGCACGUUCUGUUAUAGUCACAGCCGUGAUUUAGCCAGUUUUAUAAACGUCUGAGUGUUUUCUAUCCACACAUACUAAUCAUAUGCAUAUACUAUAUUCCUGGCCUGAGUAGCAGGGCGCUGAAAUGUUGCGCGAUUUUUAACAGAAUGUUCUAAAAAGUAGAGGGUCGACUUAACAGGUUAACGAGAGAAUCACUGACAUGAUGUCAGCUGGUCCUUUUGUGGCAGGGCUGAAAUGCUGUGGAAAUGUUUUUUGGGGAUUCAGUUAAUUUGCAUGGCAAAGAGGGACUUGCAAUUAAUUGCAAUUCAUCUGAUCACUCUUCAUAACAUGGUGGAGUAUUUGCAAAUUGCCAUCAUACAAACUGAGGCAGCAGACUUUGUGAAAAUUAAUAUUUGUGUCAUUCGCAAAACCUUUAGCCAUGACUGUACAUACAAAAACGUGCUAAUAUGCAAACUAAAAUCAAACACACACAAAGCUACAAAGUUGCUACAUGUGGACAAGACCAAAUACAACCUCUACUUUAUUAUUGCUGGUGUCCUUCAACAUCCUCCUCGCUCGUCCUCCCACUCCUCUCCCCUUGUCCUUCCCCCUUCCUCCCAACUGCCCUUCUCCCAUUGUCCUCCCCAUCAUCUCCACCCCCCUCUCCCCUUCCUGCCCCUCUCCCCCCUUGUCUUCCCCCUCCUCCACCUUGUCCUCCCCCUCCUCUCCCCUUCACCUCCCGCUCCUCUCCCCUUCCUCCCCCCUCUCCCCAUGUCUCCGCCCUCUUCUCCCUUCCUCCUCCACCUCUCCCUUUGUCCCCCCCUCCUCUCCCCUUCCUCUCCUCUCCCCUCUUCCCUUCCUCUCCUCCUCCUCUCCCCCUCCUCUCCCUUUGUCCUCGCCCUCCUCUGCCUUUCCUCCCACUCCUCUCCCCUUGUCCCCCCCUCUCUCCUUCCCCUCCUUCCAGUGCCAUUACCUAUAUGAGAUUGAAGGAGAGUGGGGACAUGUGAGUAUGCAUGUGUUUGUUUAGGUGUGCCUAUGUGUGUGUGUAUGUGUGUCUAUAAAGAACAUGCUCCUAAGAGGGAGCUGUUAACGCCAAGCUGUACUUAGUCCCAGGGGCACACACACACACACACACACACUGCUUGAGCAACAAGGCUACGCUAAGUCACAGCCCAUUUGUCUGCAGGCCUCACAAGGCUAGGGCUAUUUUAAGAUUUCUUCUGGCCUUGAGCGCUACACAGGAGAGAAACAAGUUGUAUUUUAGCUGAAGAAAUCCAGCACUCAGUGUAUUGUACACCCAGGCCUGUACGUCCAGGCUUCUAGACUGUACACCCAGGGCUGUAAACUGUACAUCCAAGCCUCUAGACUGUACACUCAGGCCUGUAGACUGUACACCCAGGUCUCUUGACUGUACAUCCAGGCCUCUAGACUGUACACUCAGGCCUGUAGACUGUACACCCAGGUCUCUUGACUGUACACUCAGGCCUGUAGACUGUACACCCAUGCCUGUAGACUGUACAUCCAGGUCUCUUGACUAUACACUCAGGCCUGUAGACUGUACACCCAUGCCUCUAGACUGUACAUCCAGGUCUCUUGACUAUACACUCAGGCCUGUAGACUGUACACCCAUGCCUCUAGACUGUACAUCCAGGUCUCUAGACUGUACAUCCAGGUCUCUAGACUGUACACUCAGGCCUGUAGACUGUACACCCAGGGCUGUAAACUGUAAAUCCAGGUCUCUAGACUGUACACUGGGCCUGUAGACUGUACACCCAUGCCUCUAGACUGUACAUCCAGGUCUCUAGACUGUACACUCAGGCCUGUAGACUGUACACCCAGGGCUGUAAACUGUACAUCCAGGCCUCUAGACUGUACACUCAGGCCUGUAGACUGUACACCCCUUGCCUCUAGACUGUACAUCCAGGCCUCUAGACUGUACACUCAGGCCUGUAGACUGUACACCCAUGCCUCUAGACUGUACAGCCUCACUUUUCCUUGGUUCAAAUAUACAUCCAGUAAUCUACUUCUAGCAAAAACACGGCGAUACUGUACAGGAUCAUGAUCGUCUCUCGAGUUGGUUACUGCUGUGUCUCAACACAUUUUUUUCAUUUUUCAUAGGUUUACAUCCAGCAAUUGUCACCUAUGAAUAUCAUCACCUAUGAAGAUGUGACAGACAGCAGUUCCUCAUUUAGCCAAAUUUGUUAUUGUCUCAUGUGGUCUGUUCUCACCUCACAACAUCUCCUGUUGUCUGUUCUAUACUCACGUCGUCUCUCGAAGUCUGUUCUCGCCUCACGUCAUCUCCCGUUGUCUGUUCUCGCCUCACGUCAUCUCCCGUUGUCUGUUCUCGCCUCACGUCAUCUCCCGUUGUCUGUUCUUGGCUCACGUCAUCUCCUGUUGCCUGUUCUCGCAUCACGUCAUCUCCCGUUGUCUGUUCUCGCCUCAUGUCAUCUCCUGUUGCCUGUUCUCGGCUCACGUCAUCUCCAGUUGUCUGUUCUUGGCUCACGUUUUCUUCCGCCUGGUGAGUUCAGUAGCAGAGGGAAUCAAUAACAGUGACAUGGAUUGUUUCUCCUUUCUCUUAUUUCUCUCUUUCCCAUCAAUAAAUAGCAAUGUUCUGCAUCAUGUCAAUCUAUGUUCAUUCAUGUGAAUACUUGAAGACGCAUGUGUGUACUUACUACCACAUAUAUGCCUUCCUGCCUGCCUCCCUCAUCAAAACAUGCAAUCUAAUUAACUUCCCUGGGAUAUGUGGGAUUGUACCGUCCCACCUCGCCAACAGCCAAAUUCAGAACAACAGAAAUCUCAUAAUUAAAAUUCCUCAAACAUACAAGUAUUAUACACCAUUUUAAAGAUAAACAUCUUGUUAAUCCAGCCACCGUGUCUGAUUUCAAAAAGGCUUUACAGCGCAAGCACACCUUGCGAUUAUGUUAGGGGCGGCAGCGUAGCCUAGUGGUUAGAGUGUUGGACUAGUAACCGGAAGGUUGCAAGUUCAAACCCCCGAGCUGACAAGGUACAAAUCUGUCGUUCUGCCCCUGAACAGGCAGUUAACCCACUGUUCCUAGGCCGUCAUUGAAAAUAAGAAUUUGUUCUUAACUGACUUGCCUGGUUAAAUAAAUGUAAAGUAAAAAAAUUAAAUAAAAAAGGUUAUGGUAUGGUUAUCCACAGAUAACCAUACAGCAACUUUCCAAAGAAGGAGAGGUGUCACAAAAGACAGAAAUAGCGUUAAAAUGAAUCACUAACCUUUGAUGAGCUUCACCGGAUGGCACUCUCAGGACUCCAUGUUAGACAAUAUAUGUGUUUUUUGUUCGAUAAAGUUAAUCUUUAUGUACAAAAACCUAAUUUGAAAUUGGUGCGUUAUGUAUGCAUUGUCUCAAACAAACAAAAGUGCAGAGAGCCACAUCAAAUUACAGAAAUACUCAUCAUAAACAUUAAUGAAAGAUACAAGUGUGAACACACAAUUAAAGAUAAACUUCUCCUUAAUGCAACCGCUAUGUCAGAUUUCAAAAAAGUGUUACGCUAAAAGCACACCAUGCGAUUAUGUUAGGUCAGCGCCGAGCCACAGAAAACCAUUCAUCCAUUUUCCAACCAAGGAGAGGUGUCAAAAAACUCAGAAGUAGCUUUAUAAAUAUUCAUUUACCUUUGAUGAUCUUCAUCGGUAGGCACUCCCAGGAAUCCCAGUUCCACAAUAAAUGUUUGUUUUGUUCGAUAAAGUGCAUCAUUUAUGUCCAAUUACCUCCUUUUUGUUUGUGCAUUCAGUCCAGUAAUCCAAAUGCACAAUGCGCAGGCACUUAGUCCAGACGAAAAAUCAAAACAGUUCCAUUAACGUUCGUGGAAACAUGUCAAACGAUGUAUAGAAUCAAUCUUUAGGAUGUUUCUAUCAUAAAUGUUCAAUAAUGUUCCACCAGACAAUUCCUUUGUCUUUAGAAAUGAAAGGGAACGGCCGUCCGCGUGGCUUAGCUCAUGGCAUUCUGCCAGACCCCUGAUUCAAACACCUCUUAUUCGCCCCCCCUUCACAGUAGAAGCCUGACACAACGUUCUAAAGACUGUUGAGAUCGAUACUGUAUAGUGGAUAGGAAAUCACUUGAUAAACUACAAACCUCAGAUUUCCCACUUCCUGAUUGGAUUUUUUCUCAGGUUUUUGCCUGCCAUAUGAGUUCUGUUAUACUCACAGACAUAAUUCAAACAGUUUUAGAAACUUCAGAGUGUUUUCUAUCCAAGCUACUCAAUACUGCCCCCAGUCCCUGUUACGUUCCCCAGUUUAUGUGUUGUAGUUUGUAUGUUUGCAUGUGUUUAUUUCAGGAAAUGGCUUCCUGAAAUCCAUCAAGCAGCUGAUUGGUCGACUCCAGGGCUAAUUGGAGAGCUGACCCCGCCCCCUCGUCAAGACACAGCUGUCUCCAAUUACCUAUACCAGAAGCUAUAUAAAAGCCAGUGUUCUGUGCAGGAGGAGAGAAUUUUUUGCUGGAAGUAGAUUUGCUAGAGUUUUGCUGGGAGGUCAUUGCAGAUAUUUUGCUAGAGAGAUUUUGCUAGAGAGAUUUUGCUAGAGAGAUUUUGCUAGAGAGAUUUUGCUAGAGAGAUUUUGCUAGAGAGAUUUUGCUAGAGAUUUUGCUAGGAGUUCAUUGCUGAGAGUUGGUAUGUUUUGUGAGUUUGUUGCUCAGAUAGAGCUUAUAUGACGUCCUUUGUUUCUUAGUUUGUUUGUGAAAAUUGUUUAAUAUUCUGUUUCAUUUGUUCCCAGGGGGGAAGGGGAAGGCACCUAGGGAGUGCUUAGGCAAGAGGCCCGCGGGCAUACAUAUACCCGUAGCAUAUUCGCUGUCUAGGCACACUAGGUAAGACCUGGGCGGACCACCCCUGUAUUUUGGUUAGUGCACCAGGUGGUGCUAAAUUAGGUAAGUAGUGGGUAGGCAGGUAAGAUAGGAGAGGGGGGCUUUGAGAUUUACUUUCUUUGCUUUGGUUCCGUCCAGCCCCUUUUCCCCAUAUUACC